AGAGUUUGAUCCUGGCUCAGGACGAACGCUGGCGGCGUGCUUAAUACAUGCAAGUCGAGCGAGGUUACUGUUUUGGAUCCCUUCGGGGUGAAGAAGCUUUAACCUAGCGGCGGACGGGUGAGUAACGCGUGGGUAACCUACCCCAAAGUCCGGGAUAACAGCGGGAAACCGCUGCUAAUACCGGAUGUCUUUACCUUGGGGCAUCUUGAGGUAAAGAAAGGCAACGCUUUGGGAUGGGCCCGCGUCCCAUUAGCUAGUUGGUGAGGUAACGGCUCACCAAGGCGACGAUGGGUAGCCGGCCUGAGAGGGUGGACGGCCACACUGGGACUGAGACACGGCCCAGACUCCUACGGGAGGCAGCAGUAGGGAAUAUUGCGCAAUGGACGGAAGUCUGACGCAGCGACGCCGCGUGAGCGAUGAAGGUCUUCGGAUCGUAAAGCUCUGUCCUUGGGGAAGAAGGCGAAAGCUUGACGGUACCCAAGAAGAAAGCCCCGGCUAACUACGUGCCAGCAGCCGCGGUAAUACGUAGGGGGCGAGCGUUGUCCGGAAUUACUGGGCGUAAAGGGUGCGUAGGCGGCCCUUUAAGUCGGAUGUGAAAGCCCGCGGCUUAACCGCGGAAUGGCAUUCGAAGCUGGAGGGCUUGAGUGUCGGAGAGGGUAGUGGAAUUCCCAGUGUAGCGGUGAAAUGCGUAGAUAUUGGGAGGAACACCAGUGGCGAAGGCGACUACCUGGACGAUAACUGACGCUGAGGCACGAAAGCUAGGGGAGCAAACAGGAUUAGAUACCCUGGUAGUCCUAGCCGUAAACGAUGGGUACUAGGUGUGGUGGUUUCGAUACCAUCCGUGCCGUAGUUAACGCAUUAAGUACCCCGCCUGGGGAGUACGUGCGCAAGCAUGAAACUCAAAGGAAUUGACGG
rnacentral:rRNA from 1 species